AAAGAAGUGGCUCAAUGGUUAAGAGCCCUGAACGCUCUUGUAGAGGACCUGGGUUCAAUUCCCAGCACCUAUA
rnacentral:tRNA from 1 species